AGAGUUUGAUCCUGGCUCAGAGCGAACGCUGGCGGCAGGCCUAACACAUGCAAGUCGAGCGGCCGUAGCAAUACGGCAGCGGCAGACGGGAGAGUAACACGUGGGAACGCGCCCUUUGGUUCGGAAUAACUCAGGGAAACUUGAGCUAAUACCGGAUAAGCCCUAACGGGGAAAGAUUUAUCGCCGAAGGAACGGCCCGCGUCCGAUUAGCUAGUUGGUGAGGUAAUGGCUCACCAAGGCGACGAUCGGUAGCUGGUCUGAGAGGAUGACCAGCCUCACUGGGACUGAGACACGGCCCAGACUCCUACGGGAGGCAGCAGUGGGGAAUAUUGGACAAUGGGCGCAAGCCUGAUCCAGCCAUGCCGCGUGAGUGAUGAAGGCCUUAGGGUUGUAAAGCUCUUUUAGCAGGGAAGAUAAUGACGGUACCCGCAGAAGAAGCCCCGGCUAACUUCGUGCCAGCAGCCGCGGUAAUACGAAGGGGGCUAGCGUUGCUCGGAAUCACUGGGCGUAAAGCGCACGUAGGCGGAUUGUUAAGUCA
rnacentral:rRNA from 1 species